UACGUAGGGUGCAAGCGUUGUCCGGAAUUAUUGGGCGUAAAGAGCUCGUAGGCGGUCUGUCGCGUCUGCUGUGAAAACUCAGGGCUUAACCCUGAGCUUGCAGUGGGUACGGGCAGACUAGAGUGCGGUAGGGGAGACUGGAAUUCCUGGUGUAGCGGUGAAAUGCGCAGAUAUCAGGAGGAACACCGGUGGCGAAGGCGGGUCUCUGGGCCGUAACUGACGACUGGAGAACGCGAAAGCGUGGGGAGCAAACAGG
rnacentral:rRNA from 1 species